rnacentral:tRNA from 1 species
UUUGACUUGGCAGAUAAAUGCACCUGACUUAGGAUCAGCCCAUAAUACGUAAGUAUUAGUCAAUU